UCCAGACUCCUACGGGAGGCAGCAGUGAGGAAUAUUGGUCAAUGGGCGUAAGCCUGAACCAGCCAAGUCGCGUGAGGGAUGAAGGAUCUAUGGUUCGUAAACCUCUUUUAUAAGGGAAUAAAGUGCGGGACGUGUCCUGUUUUGUAUGUACCUUAUGAAUAAGGAUCGGCUAACUCCGUGCCAGCAGCCGCGGUAAUACGGAGGAUCCGAGCGUUAUCCGGAUUUAUUGGGUUUAAAGGGUGCGCAGGCGGAAGAUAAGGUCAGCGGUAAAAUUGGGGGGCUCAACCUCUUCGAGCCGUUGAAACUGGUUUUCUUGAGUGAGUGAGAAGUAUGCGGAAUGCGUGGUGUAGCGGUGAAAUGCAUAGAUAUCACGCAGAACUCCGAUUGCGAAGGCAGCAUACCGGCGCUCAACUGACGCUCAUGCACGAAAGUGUGGGUAUCGAACAGGAUUAGAUACCCCAGUA
rnacentral:rRNA from 1 species